AUAGCGGAGGAAAAGAAACUAACAAGGAUUCCCCUAGUAGCGGCGAGCGAAGCGGGAAGAGCUCAAAUUUAUAAUCUGGCACCUUCGGUGUCCGAGUUGUAAUCUCUAGAAAUGUUUUCCGCGUUGGACCGCACACAAGUCUGUUGGAAUACAGCGGCAUAGUGGUGAGACCCCCGUAUAUGGUGCGGACGCCCAGCGCUUUGUGAUACAUUUUCGAAGAGUCGAGUUGUUUGGGAAUGCAGCUCAAAUUGGGUGGUAAAUUCCAUCUAAAGCUAAAUAUUGGCGAGAGACCGAUAGCGAACAAGUACCGUGAGGGAAAGAUGAAAAGCACUUUGGAAAGAGAGUUAACAGUACGUGAAAUUGUUGGAAGGGAAACGCUUGAAGUCAGACUUGCUUGCCGAGCAAUCGGUUUGCAGGCCAGCAUCAGUUUUCCGGGAUGGAUAAUGGUAGAGAGAAGGUAGCAGUUUCGGCUGUGUUAUAGCUCUCUGCUGGAUACAUCUUGGGGGACUGAGGAACGCAGUGUGCCUUUUGGCGGGGGUUUCGACCUCUUCACACUAGG
rnacentral:rRNA from 1 species